GUCUCGGUGGUGUAGUGGUAGAACGCGCUUCUUUGCCGUUGAGAUGCGGGUUCAACUCCCACCUGAGGUU